rnacentral:rRNA from 1 species
UUUAGUGACCGUACCGCAAACCGACUCAGGUGGGCGGGGUGAGAAUCCCAAGGCGCGUGAGAGAACACUGGCUAAGGAACUCGGCAAAUUGACACCGUAACUUCGGGAGAAGGUGUGCCCGCGCUCGUGAUGAGACUUGCUCUUUGAGCGGGUGUGGGUUGCAGAGAAUAGAGGGUUGCGACUGUUUACCAAAAACACAGGACUCUGCGAACUUGUAAGAGGACGUAUAGGGUCUGACGCCUGCCCGGUGCUGGAAGGUUAAGAGGAGUUGUUAGCUUCGGCGAAGCAGUGAAUUGAAGCCCCAGUAAACGGCGGCCGUAACUAUAACGGUCCUAAGGUAGCGAAAUUCCUUGUCGGGUAAGUUCCGACCUGCACGAAUGGCGUAACGACAUCCCUACUGUCUCGGCCAGUGACUCAGCGAAAUUGUAUUGAGCGUGAAGAUACGCUCUACCCGCGACAAGACGGAAAGACCCCGUGAACCUUUACUGCAGCUUGGCAGUGAAAUUCGGGACAGUCUGCGUAGGAUAGGGGGGAGACUUUGAAGCCGGGAUUCUGGUUUCGGUGGAGUCACCCUUGAAAUACCACCCUGGCUGUUCUGGAUUUCUAACCCAGCACCGUUAUCCGGUGCGGGGACAUUGCCUGGUGGGCAGUUUGACUGGGGCGGUCACCUCCUAAAAAGUAACGGAGGUGCGCGAUGGUUCCCUCAGGCUGAUUGGAAACCAGCCGUAGAGUGCAAAGGCAUAAGGGAGCUUAACUGUGAGACCGACAGGUCGAACAGAUGCGAAAGCAGGCCUUAGUGAUCCGGUAGCUCCGCAUGGAAGGGCUAUCGCUCAACGGAUAAAAGGUACUCCGGGGAUAACAGGCUGAUCGCGCCUGAGAGUUCAUAUCGGCGGCGCGGUUUGGCACCUCGAUGUCGGCUCAUCGCAUCCUGGGGCUGGAGCAGGUCCCAAGGGUUUGGCUGUUCGCCAAUUAAAGCGGUACGCGAGCUGGGUUCAGAACGUCGUGAGACAGUUCGGUCCCUAUCUGUCGUGGGCGGAGGAUACUUGAAGGGAGUUGACCAUAGUACGAGAGGACCUGGUUGAACGUAUCCCUAGUGUUCCGGUUGUUUCGCCAGAAGCAUAGCCGGGUAGCUAUAUACGGAAUCGAUAACCGCUGAAAGCAUCUAAGCGGGAAGCGAGCCCUAAGAUGAGGUAUCCCUGGACUUCGGUCCCUGAAGACCACUUGUAGACUACGAGUUUGAUAGGCUGGGUGUGGAAGUGCGGCAACGCAUGGAGCUGACCAGUACUAAUCGGUCGUGAGGCUUGACCUA